rnacentral:rRNA from 1 species
AUGAACGCUAGCUACAGGCUUAACACAUGCAAGUCGAGGGGCAGCAUGGUCUUAGCUUGCUAAGGCCGAUGGCGACCGGCGCACGGGUGAGUAACACGUAUCCAACCUGCCGUCUACUCUUGGACAGCCUUCUGAAAGGAAGAUUAAUACAAGAUGGCAUCAUGAGUCCGCAUGUUCACAUGAUUAAAGGUAUUCCGGUAGACGAUGGGGAUGCGUUCCAUUAGAUAGUAGGCGGGGUAACGGCCCACCUAGUCUUCGAUGGAUAGGGGUUCUGAGAGGAAGGUCCCCCACAUUGGAACUGAGACACGGUCCAAACUCCUACGGGAGGCAGCAGUGAGGAAUAUUGGUCAAUGGGCGAGAGCCUGAACCAGCCAAGUAGCGUGAAGGAUGACUGCCCUAUGGGUUGUAAACUUCUUUUAUAAAGGAAUAAAGUCGGGUAUGGAUACCCGUUUGCAUGUACUUUAUGAAUAAGGAUCGGCUAACUCCGUGCCAGCAGCCGCGGUAAUACGGAGGAUCCGAGCGUUAUCCGGAUUUAUUGGGUUUAAAGGGAGCGUAGAUGGAUGUUUAAGUCAGUUGUGAAAGUUUGCGGCUCAACCGUAAAAUUGCAGUUGAUACUGGAUAUCUUGAGUGCAGUUGAGGCAGGCGGAAUUCGUGGUGUAGCGGUGAAAUGCUUAGAUAUCACGAAGAACUCCGAUUGCGAAGGCAGCCUGCUAAGCUGCAACUGACAUUGAGGCUCGAAAGUGUGGGUAUCAAACAGGAUUAGAUACCCUGGUAGUCCACACGGUAAACGAUGAAUACUCGCUGUUUGCGAUAUACGGCAAGCGGCCAAGCGAAAGCGUUAAGUAUUCCACCUGGGGAGUACGCCGGCAACGGUGAAACUCAAAGGAAUUGACGGGGGCCCGCACAAGCGGAGGAACAUGUGGUUUAAUUCGAUGAUACGCGAGGAACCUUACCCGGGCUUAAAUUGCAGAUGAAUUACGGUGAAAGCCGUAAGCCGCAAGGCAUCUGUGAAGGUGCUGCAUGGUUGUCGUCAGCUCGUGCCGUGAGGUGUCGGCUUAAGUGCCAUAACGAGCGCAACCCUUGUUGUCAGUUACUAACAGGUUCUGCUGAGGACUCUGACAAGACUGCCAUCGUAAGAUGUGAGGAAGGUGGGGAUGACGUCAAAUCAGCACGGCCCUUACGUCCGGGGCUACACACGUGUUACAAUGGGGGGUACGGAGGGCCGCUACCACGCGAGUGGAUGCCAAUCCCAAAAACCUCUCUCAGUUCGGACUGGAGUCUGCAACCCGACUCCACGAAGCUGGAUUCGCUAGUAAUCGCGCAUCAGCCACGGCGCGGUGAAUACGUUCCCGGGCCUUGUACACACCGCCCGUCAAGCCAUGGGAGCCGGGGGUACCUGAAGUGCGUAACCGCGAGGAGCGCCCUAGGGUAAAACUGGUGACUGGGGCU